GAAUGUUUUAGUAUUACAAAACCUAUUGGAGGGGAGGGGGCCUCAACACAGACUGUGGGCUUGUGAGAUUCAUGUUUUCAGUUUCCUCAUAUCAAUGGUGUGGAGCUUAUUUAGUAUUUUCUUUCUGCUCGUCUAAGCAGGGAUCCGUCUUUUUUAUACAUGACGAAAAACGAUGCCGUGGGAAGUUUUCAUUUACAAUCAUCUCUCAGUUCUCAGUAGACAUUCACACUUUAUGAGAAGAGAUGACAUUUUACAGCAAUGGCCUGUUGGAUUAAGUAGGAGCUGAGAAACCAGAGGAUGUUGCUGAAUUGAAUUGUAAAAGUUUCAAAGGCUAAACGGCUGUCCUAACAAGAGGCUGUUUGAAUAAGUUUCGCCACAUAGGCCUACAAACAUCAUUUGACAUUCCACUGUUUUAUACAGUGACAGCUGGAGUAGAGCAGUUUCAGGGUAUUUCAAAGUGAGAUAUCAUACGCCCACCAGAAACAACUGAAGGUGUGACCUCAAUAUAUGGGACGAGCUAAAUGUUGCAUGAAUGCAGUAAUAUCGUUAUCCUGUAGGAGGCAUAGUGUGCUAUGAACAGCUUGUGGACAAAUCUGGUGCUUGCUGGCUGUAACAGCAACUCCAUGUGGAAGUUGUCUGUGUUCCAGUGGAGAUGCUGUUACCUGCAGAGAGUCACCCCCUAGCCAGCUCUGACAUGGAAUCAAUGUUUAGAAUAUCACAGUCCUUAUUUAUUAUGGCUGUUCUGAUGUUUCUCCUCUUUCGGUUGAACUCAGUUAUAUCUGCUUUCACCACAUUGUCAUGUAUUUUUUGAUUUGUAUUAUUAAGAACAGUCUCUAGAUCAUUCAAGAGAUAUGGGCUCCUUGUUUUCAAUGACAACAUCAUGUGAAGAUAUGUAUGCCCUCCAAACUUUGGUUUGAAUUCAGAGUAGGGAUGCAUGGGAUGCAUGGUGAUGACCUAUGAAUUGACAGCCAGUGUCUGCAACACAACUGCCUGUCAGUUCUGUAGGCCACUGCUGUGUCUAUCCUACUGAGCACACACAGGGGUUUAGAUGGAGCAAAGGAACUCAUUGAUAUGUUUGAUAAAUUGUCAGAAACCUAUGAUGUAUUUGUGAAACCCCUGAGAAUAUUCUGUAUAGUAUACAUUUGCAAGUUAUUUGAAGACAAUACAAUUGCUUUGUUGCCAACCUUGGAAAUAAAGAUUGAAAACACUCUCUGAUUGUUUAAAUAAUAUAAUUAAGCAAUAAGGUACGAGAGGGUGUGGUAUGUGGCCAAUAACCACAGCUAAGGGUUGUUCUUAAGCACGACGGAGCACUCGGAUACAGCCCUUAGCCGUGGUAUAUUGGCCAUAUACCACAAACCCCUGAGGUGCCUUACUAUUAUAAACUGAUUACCAAAGUAAUUACAGCAGUAAAAAUAAAUGUUUUGUCAUACCCGUGGUAUACGGUCUGAUAUACCACGGCUGUCAGCCAAUCAGCAUUCAGGGCUCCAACCACCCAGUUUAUAAUACCUGUUAUAAGUGCAUGAGAGUAAGUGAAAAAAAUGUCUCUAUAAAUUCAAGAAUUUUACAGACGUUGUCUAGUCUGGUAGAAGCUUAGUAUUCCUGAGUGUUGCCACAGGAUGAGGGGUGUUUUAACAUAAACCUGCCAGGGAGGG
ensembl:lncRNA